CUGAGGUUAAUAACCUCAGCAAUUGACGUUACCCGCAGAAGAAGCACCGGCUAACUCCGUGCCAGCAGCCGCGGUAAUACGGAGGGUGCAAGCGUUAAUCGGAAUUACUGGGCGUAA
rnacentral:rRNA from 1 species